rnacentral:lncRNA from 1 species
AAUAUCAACCUCCUGAGAAAGACUGCAAAAAGCUGAUUGCAGUGCUUCAGGCUGAGGACUUUGGGGAUGGUUAGCCAGGUACUAACAGUUUCACAUGUCCCAGUAUGUUGUGUUAUUGUUUAUAACUCUCAAAAUGUUGAUUUCUUUUUCUGUCAUUUCUUUUUCUCCCAGAGAGGUGAUGGAGUCACCAUCCCGAGAGAUUUUCAAGGACCAUGUGGACCUGGCACUGAGGGUAUGGUGGGGACGGGUUAAUGGUUGGACUGUAUGACCUUAGAAGUCUUUUCCGACCUUAGUCAUUCUGUGAUUUUUCUGUGUGUAGUUGUUUUUUAAUGCUCUCUAGUUACUCAAACAAAAGCAUAUAUCAGAGAGAGCAUUCAGCCAAGGUGAUGAUGUCUUUGAAGACAUUGCUGCUCCCUCUCCAUCAUCAUGGUAGGAAGGCCACGAGUGACAAACUUCCCAUAGACAUCUGCACAGCCAGGCCUGGUAGGGCAGUGAGGCCAAGGAGUGAGCCCUGUACUCCUCAGGGCUUCAUUACCUGCCUGCAAAGAGCAGUCUUCCAUUAGGUGGAUGGUUUACGAGGGUAACGGAUUACAAGGGUAAUGCUUUCUAAAGUCCUUGGCUGAAGGAGCGCAGCGGGACACGAAGCUCCGGAUCCCCCUGGGCCGGGGCCGUCCCCUCCUGCAGGGCGCCCCCUGCCGGCCGGGCGGUGCCGCCACCUGACGCUGCGGGCGGGGCGGGCGGGCUGCUUCAGCACGUGCCGGGAGGCGCUGGGCCGGGACUGUGCCGAGCGGCGCCGCGCUGCCCCGCCCCAGGCUCUCCCGAGGGCCGCGGCGGGAGGAAGGGAAGGAAGGAGGGAAGGAAGAAGGAAGGAGGCAGGAGGCCGGCGGCCGUGACCUCGGCUCCAGCGGCGGGAGCAGCUCCCGGGAGGGCGCGGGAGUCCACUCCGGGAUUUCGGGGGCGCCGCGCGGUGACACAUUGACAUCACGGGGGCGCGGCCGGGCGGCGGGCGGGGGCUGCGCGCUGAAAGGCGGCGGAGCGCGGCCGCCCUCACUCCGGCACGGCGGCGGGACCGGGAGGACGCGGAGCGGCGCGCGGCUGCCUGCACUGCCCGGGCUGGACCCCGCGCCGCGGCCGCCAAUGAGCCUCGGGAAGCGGGCUGCCUCCUCGUCCUCAGGAUUUCAGAUGCAUGCCAGGUUCCUGCUGAAUGCC